CUACGGAGGGUCCAAGCGUUAUCCGGAUUCAUUGGGUUUAAAGGGUCCGCAGGCGGGAAAAUAAGUCAGUGGUGAAAGCCUACAGCUCAACUGUAGAACUGCCAUUGAUACUGUUUUUCUUGAGUAUAGAUGAAGUGGGCGGAAUAUAUCAUGUAGCGGUGAAAUGCAUAGAUAUGAUAUAGAACACCGAUUGCGAAGGCAGCUCACUAAACAACUACCGACGCUCAGGGACGAAAGCGUGGGGAGCGAACAGGAUUAGAAACCCUAGUAGUCC
rnacentral:rRNA from 1 species